rnacentral:rRNA from 1 species
AGAAUCAACGCUGGCGGCGUGCCUAACACAUGCAAGUCGCACGAGAAAGGGGAGCAAUCCCUGAGUACAGUGGCGCACGGGUGAGUAACACGUGAAUAAUCUACCUCCAAGUGGGGAAUAACUGAGAGAAAUCUUAGCUAAUACCGCAUAACACUUACGAGUCAAAGCAGCAAUGCGCUUGGAGAGGAGUUCGCGGCCGAUUAGUUAGUUGGCGGGGUAAUGGCCCACCAAGACGAUGAUCGGUA